AGUGACAAAAAUAAUGAAAAUCCUCGGGGAGCAGCUAAGAGGGUGCACAGCCUAAGAAGACCGACAGAGAAGGCUUGAUCAGCAUAAGCUGCAAUCAUCCUCUCUUUCCCCA
rnacentral:lncRNA from 1 species